GGAGGGAUGGCCGAGCGGUUUAAGGCGCACGCUUGGAAAGCGUGUAUACGGGCAACCGUAUCGAGGGUUCGAAUCCCUCUCCCUCCG
rnacentral:tRNA from 1 species